rnacentral:lncRNA from 1 species
CACCCUGUCACCUUACCAUACAUAGGGACUUUCAAGGGAGAAAAGGAAGGACCAAGAGGAUAAGAAAAGACCCACCAAGGAUACCAAAGAGUUGGCCUAGGAGCACUACAAUUAUGAAAUAUAUUCUUUUCUGCUAUGGGAAAAUCAACACAAUUUGGAAGCAGUCCUGCCUGGAAUUUUGGGAAAUUGAUUCUUCCUCCUUGCCACUUUUCCAUCAAUCAACCUGCAGUCAAUGGAUAACUCCACUCUACUAUGUCUUCUAUCUCCUUUGUGGUACAUCUGAAAGUUGCUGAAUUGGAUCAGGUCAUUGCUUUGACAAUGUUUGUCACAAGGAUCUGUUGUAAACUCUCCCAAGAAAUCUUCCUCUGUGUAUUUGUCUUCUCAAGUCAUUAUGUUGUACCA